rnacentral:rRNA from 1 species
UACGUAGGGUGCGAGCGUUGUCCGGAAUUAUUGGGCGUAAAGAGCUUGUAGGCGGUCUGUCGCGUCUGCUGUGAAAAUCCGGGGCUCAACCCCGGACUUGCAGUGGGUACGGGCAGACUAGAGUGUGGUAGGGGAGACUGGAAUUCCUGGUGUAGCGGUGAAAUGCGCAGAUAUCAGGAGGAACACCGAUGGCGAAGGCAGGUCUCUGGGCCACUACUGACGCUGAGAAGCGAAAGCAUGGGGAACGAACAGG